rnacentral:tRNA from 1 species
GCACGUGUGACCGAGCGGCGAAGGUUGCAGCCUGCAAAGCUGUAUCAGCAAUGACAUCGGGGGUUCGAGUCCCUCCACGUGCUC